UGUAAGUUUCUCAAUUCAAGAUUUCGGAUCUCCGUAGUUUUGACCAUUUUAUCCAACCUAAUAAUGUGAUAAAUGCAUCUUAACUGCGGUGAUCUGGAUUUUGUGAACCGUUUUUUUUCACC
rnacentral:pre_miRNA from 14 species